rnacentral:rRNA from 1 species
GGCUGAACGCUGGCGGCGUGCCUACUCCAUGCAAGUCGAGCGAACAGACGAGGAGCUUGCUCCUCUGACGUUAGCGGCGGACGGGUGAGUAACACGUGGAUAACCUACCUAUAAGACUGGGAUAACUUCGGGAAACCGGAGCUAAUACCGGAUAACAUGUUGAACCGCAUGGUUCAACAGUGAAAGACGGUCUUGCUGUCACUUAUAGAUGGAUCCGCGCCGCAUUAGCUAGUUGGUAAGGUAACGGCUUACCAAGGCAACGAUGCGUAGCCGACCUGAGAGGGUGAUCGGCCACACUGGAACUGAGACACGGUCCAGACUCCUACGGGAGGCAGCAGUAGGGAAUCUUCCGCAAUGGGCGAAAGCCUGACGGAGCAACGCCGCGUGAGUGAAGAAGGUCUUCGGAUCGUAAAACUCUGUUAUUAGGGAAGAACAAAUGUGUAAGUAACUAUGCACGUCUUGACGGUACCUAAUCAGAAAGCCACGGCUAACUACGUG